rnacentral:rRNA from 1 species
CCUACGAGUGGCUGCAGUGAGGAAUAUUGGUCAAUGGGCGGAAGCCUGAACCAGCCAAGUAGCGUGCAGGAUGACGGCCCUACGGGUUGUAAACUGCUUUUAUACGGGAAUAACGCGCCUUACGUGUAGGGCUUUGCAUGUACCGUAUGAAUAAGGACCGGCUAAUUCCGUGCCAGCAGCCGCGGUAAUACGGAAGGCCCGGGCGUUAUCCGGAUUUAUUGAGUUUAAAGGGAGCGUAGGCCGCAUGUCAAGCGUGCUGUGAAAUGUCCGGGCUCAACCCGGGCCUUGCAGCGCGAACUGGCGUGCUUGAGUCCGCGGAAAGCAGGCGGAAUUCGUCGUGUAGCGGUGAAAUGCUUAGAUAUGACGAAGAACCCCGAUUGCGAAGGCAGCUUGCUGCAGCGGAACUGACGCUGAUGCUCGAAAGCGCGGGUAUCGAACAGGAUUAGAUACCCUUGUAGUC